AAACACUUGGUAUUUGAAGCAAAGGUCUGGGGUUCGAAUCCCCCUCGCUCCAGGCCUUUUACUCUGCGCGCGAACGGUCGACCGUAGGGUCAGCGCACGCUGACUCGUGGAGUGCGAACGGUCGACCAUAGGGUCAGCGCACGCUGACUCGUGGAGUGCGAACGGUCGACCAUAGGGUCAGCGCACGCUGACCCGUGGGGCACGCGCCGACUGCAUGCGUCGACGCCCAGUAUCAUGU
rnacentral:lncRNA from 1 species